GCCCUUCCUACGGCAGUCAGCAGUGAGGGAUAUUGGUCAAUGGACGAGAGUCUGAACCAGCCAAGUAGCGUGAAGGAUGACUGCCCUAUGGGUUGUAACUUCUUUUAUAAGGGAAUAAAGUGAGGGACGUGUCCCUUUUUGUAUGUACCUUAUGAAUAAGGAUCGGCUAACUCCGUGCCAGCAGCCGCGGUAAUACGGAGGAUCCAAGCGUUAUCCGGAUUUAUUGGGUUUAAAGGGAGCGUAGGUUGACAUAUAAGUCAGCUGUGAAAGUUUACGGCUCAACAGUGAAAUUGCAGUUGAUACUGUAUGUCUUGAGUGUACAAGAGGUGGGCGGAAUUCGUGGUGUAGCGGUGAAAUGCUUAGAUAUCACGAAGAACUCCAAUUGCGAAGGCAGCUCACUGGGGUACAACAGACACUGAGGCUCGAAAGUGUGGGUAUCAAACAGGAUUAGAUACCCUGGUAGUCCACACAGUAAACGAUGAAUACUCGCUGUUUGCGAUAUACAGUAAGCGGCCAAGCGAAAGCAUUAAGUAUUCCACCUGGGGAGUACGCCGGCAACGGUGAAACUCAAAGGAAUUGACGGAAGGGC
rnacentral:rRNA from 1 species